UUUAAAUUGAGAGUUUGAUCCUGGCUCAGGAUGAACGCUGGUGGCGUGCCUAAUACAUGCAAGUCGUACGCUAGCCGCUGAAUUGAUCCUUCGGGUGAAGUGAGGCAAUGACUAGAGUGGCGAACUGGUGAGUAACACGUAAGAAACCUGCCCUUUAGUGGGGGAUAACAUUUGGAAACAGAUGCUAAUACCGCGUAACAACAAAUCACACAUGUGAUCUGUUUGAAAGGUCCUUUUGGAUCGCUAGAGGAUGGUCUUGCGGCGUAUUAGCUUGUUGGUAGGGUAGAAGCCUACCAAGGCAAUGAUGCGUAGCCGAGUUGAGAGACUGGCCGGCCACAUUGGGACUGAGACACUGCCCAAACUCCUACGGGAGGCUGCAGUAGGGAAUUUUCCGCAAUGCACGAAAGUGUGACGGAGCGACGCCGCGUGUGUGAUGAAGGCUUUCGGGUCGUAAAGCACUGUUGUAAGGGAAGAAUAACUGAAUUCAGAGAAAGUUUUCAGCUUGACGGUACCUUACCAGAAAGGGAUGGCUAAAUACGUGCCAGCAGCCGCGGUAAUACGUAUGUCCCGAGCGUUAUCCGGAUUUAUUGGGCGUAA
rnacentral:rRNA from 1 species